UCAAACUUGGUCAUUUAGAGGAAGUAAAAGUCGUAACAAGGUCUCCGUUGGUGAACCAGCGGAGGGAUCAUUAUAGAGUUUUUACAACUCCCAACCCAUGUGAACUUACCUUUGUUGCCUCGGCGGGGCCUACCCGGUACCUACCCUGUAGCCCGCCGAUGGAUUUUCAAACUCUUGUUAUUUUAUGUUAUCUGAAUGUCUUAUUUUAAUAAGUCAAAACUUUCAACAACGGAUCUCUUGGUUCUGGCAUCGAUGAAGAACGCAGC
rnacentral:misc_RNA from 1 species